CCGUCCAUAGCUCAGUUGGUUAGAGCACGGAGCUUAUAUCUCCGCGGUCCCAGGUUCGAGUCCUGGUGGACGGACAA
rnacentral:tRNA from 1 species